rfam:Myotis davidii contig98093, whole genome shotgun sequence.
UCUAAGGUUUUCUUAAAAGCCACCCAUACAAAACAAGAAUAUCUUG